GGUGAACUCAGCUGUCUCAGAUUAUGGGUGAAAGAAACAUAUGACAGGACUUUUACAUAAUAAUAAUAAUAAUAAUAAUAUUGUUUUUCCCUUACGAAAAUUAACUUUUUUGUAAUAGUUGUUGUUGUCUGCCCUAACUCCCUCUAAACCUAUUAUACAAUUAUGUGAAUUUGUCUAAUUACUACUGUAACAUUUAUAAUGAUAAUGUAACAUAAUAAUGAUGUCCUUUAGCAUACAGUGUUUUGAGUGAUGAGUAGUGUGCUGCUGCUAACAGGUGCUGGCAGUUUAAUACUUGGCGAAGUCAAAACAAUAACAGGUCAACGGGCCAAAUCGGCUGCAAGUCGGAGUUCUCCCGUUUCUCUCGAUUGCCAGACCGCGUCUGUUUGAGCAGCUUUGUGCCAUGUCGAAAGUGAAAGUUUAGAGGUUCAGUAUUUAGACUCUUGUGAGCAGCAGAGAGAGUCAGAGAGGAGUGAACUCAGACUGUGAAGACACGCAGAGCUCGGGUGAUCAAUAACUCUCUCUGAAUGGGAAAUAAUCUCCUUUAAUAAUUCAUAACCAACUACGGGCAAAUCUUCAAAAUCAAUCAUGGAUGCUGUAAAUGCUGUGCAGCUGUUCAUUCUGGUUUGGACCUUUACUGCUGUCUGUCAAGCUGAUGAUGAUAUCAUUGUAAGCUGUGAGAAUGUGACUGGAUUUGUGGGGAAAGAAGUAAUUCUCAACUGCAGCGUCUCUCUGCAGAACACUGAAUGCUGCAUUACAAAGUAUAAGUUUCAAUACCCUGAGAUCUUUAAUGACUCCGCAAUCUGUCGUCGAGAUGUUCCUGUGAACUCCUGUGAACAGAGAAACAGUUUCACAUGCAGCUACACUCCAACUACAGCGAUGACAAAACAAUUCAGAUUCUUUGUGCAAACAAAUUGUGGAGUGGGAAAAGCUGAAAUCUUCACUCUUGAAGCAGUUUCAUCAAGACGUGAACAGACAACAUCAGGAACCUCUCCACCAGAGACAGCAUCAGUAUCCUCUCCACCAGAGACAGCAGGUCUUGGAUCCAAGGAGACUGUCUUCACUGUGGUUGUGGUUGGUUUCAUCAUCAUCCUCAUCAUGACGGCGAUCAUUUGCAGAACAAAACCAAACUUCACCAAACUUUGCAGAGGCCAGAACUGGAU
ensembl:lncRNA